GAAAUUCAAGAUAGAAAUUCUGUUCCUAACUUCAAUACAAUAAAGAAUUGCAAAAAUUGCAGUGGGAUGGAUCAGUAAAGCCCCUGUUUGGCGGUCUUUUUUGCAAAAAUAUUGUUUUAAAUAGUAAUUUUUUUGAAUAAUGUAUAAUUAAAAAGUAAGAAAAAGUUUUGAAUUCACAUGUAGAAUAUCUUAUUGUAUCAAUGUAUGAUUGAAAAAGAAUAUAUAGUGUUGUGACUCGGACCCGGUUCUUUGUGCUCUCAUAAUUUUCUGCUAAAGACGAUUUAUGGAAAUGCGAUUUUAUAAAGUGAUCUUUACACUGGAUGUUAACACUUGGCACAUCACGAACCGUUGGAUGAGUCAAUUGGUCUUGGUGAUAUAAAUACACUUGGACAAUUUGUUUACCCUCAGAUUUUCUUCUGCCUUUUCAUUUCGAGAGAGUUCAUCUUCUCUGAGUGGCUAGGGUUUUCUGAUUCGUCAUUAUUUUUUAACAUCUCAUUCGAAAUGAUAUUUUGAGAGUUUAGUCUUGAAUACAUGUGAUUUCUUGAGUGAAAUAUGUAAUAGUUGUGAGAACUGGUAUUCUGGGUUCAUGAAAGCAGAUCUGCAGUUUAUUAUGUGAUUCGAGCCAAAUAUGUUGGUUCUUUGUGAAGAGAUAGUCUCUUAUACUGUAUUUUGGUAUUGGCUAAACGUUUGUAACUUUCCUUGCCAGUUUAAGGUGUUAUAGUGCAA
rnacentral:lncRNA from 1 species